rnacentral:rRNA from 1 species
CAGCGCCACAAGUGGCAAUCACGAUUAUUGGGCCUAAAGCGUUCGUAGCCGGUUUAGUAAAUCUUUUGUGAAAUCGUACAGCUCAACUGUACGGCGUGCAGGAGACACUGCUAAACUAGAGACCGGGAGGAGUCAGAGGUAUGCUGGGGGGACCGGUAAAAUGGGAUAAUCCUCAGUAGACCACCGAUGGCGAAGGCAUCUGACCAGAACGGAUCUGACGGUGAGGGACGAAAGCUAGGGGAGCGAACCGGAUUAGAUACCCGUGUAGUCC